GGCCGCAGUCCCAACCCCUCCCUCUCCCGGCUCUGGGUCCUCCUGCCCGCCAGGGGGCGCUGGCGGGCGGAAGAGCGCCGCUCGCCCGCGCCCGUUCCCGCACUAUAUAAGCGGGAGGCGGGAGCUCUGCCGCCCUUUCUGCGGGCGCGGGGCGGCGGGAGCGGAGCCACGGCAUUGCCUCACGGGGACCGGGCCCGGCCUCGGCCUCUCCCGGCGGCAAACCCCGCGUCCCUCAGGGGCAGGAAGCCUGUGCUGGUUGAGGCGGCUCCGCAGCUGCGCCUUCCCCAGCCAUGUUACGGCGAGGUUCCCUCAGGGCCGGAGCCGCUUCCCCCGGGCCCCGGCGCUGGGCGGCGGCAGGACACGAGCGAGCCUGGCAGUGGACAAAAGCAUGAGGUGACUUCAGAAAUGUAGGGUGGUCCUUCAGAAAAACGCUGCCCAAGCAAGCUUCAACCUUUCUGACUUGAAACAGCAGCGGUGUAACCAGGCUCCGGGGUGUGGCUAAACCCUGUCCAUGUGUUUCCCACUUCCCCAGGGGCAGCCCUGAGCCCUGGCAGACCCGGAGGAGCCCCAGAGCAGAUCAUUCCUUGAGCUGCAGGAUGUGUGACAAACGUGGCAGCUGAGAACUGGUUGGCAGCAUCCACGUCUGAGGGUUUGGAGAUUCCUAAAACUUGAUCAUCUGUGUUUUCUCUACAUGGUUAAGAAGAAUUUAAAUUAAAAAAAAAACAAAAACUAAAUAAA